CUUGAAUUUAAUAGAUAUUAAUGCAUUUUACAUUACUGGGGCAAGAGCAAGGAAAUUUCUAGACAGUUUAACUCUAAAGUAAUUGGUCUGCAUAGUUUUAAAGUAGUUCAUACAACAGAAGAGCUAUUUCACAACAUGUAAGACAUGUUUUGUCAUUUAAAAAUGUAUCCAGAGUAACUAUAGUAAGGGCUACUCGGCAGUCUUCUAGAUUAGCUUCAAUAUUACUUAUGGGGGAAGAACAGUGUUUGGGAAAAUAUUUGAGAAAACAAACCUUGAAGGAAGAGAGAAAAGCUUAUUAUUCAUCAAAGUCUGUUAACCUUUACUUAAUGUGUUACUCUGUACUGUAGAGAAUAUACAGCAUAUAUUCUCUGAAUAUUUGCAAAUAAUACCCUUUUAAUUUUUAUGCAAACCAAACAAUAAUAAUAAAAUAAAAUUGUACAAAGUACUAUUGUAAAAUUGUAAAAUAAAUGUAAAAUUGUAAAAUAAAAUUAUACAAUGGUUGCAUAACUCCAUACUAAAAACUACUGAAUUAUUUAAACUAUUAUCCAAAGAAAUGACAUUGAGUGGUAUUUAACCAUUUAAACCACAACACAUUCAGUUCAGUUCAGUUGCUCGGUCGUGUCUGACUCUUUGCGACCCCAAGACUGCAGCACGCCAGGCUUCCCUGUCCAUCACCAACUCCUGGAGCUUGCUCAAACUCAUGUUCAUCGAGUCAGUGAUGCCAUCCAACCAUCUCAUCUUCUGUUGUCCCCUUCUCCUCCUGCCCUCAAUCUUGCCCAGCAUCAGGGUCUUUUCCAAUGAGUCAGUUCCUCGAAGCAGGUGGACGAAGGAUUGGAGCUUCAGCUUCAGCAUCAGUCCUUCCAAUGAAUAUUCAGGACCAAUUUCCUUUAGGAUUGACUGGUUGAAUCUCCUUGCUAUCCAAGGGACUCUCAAGAGUCUUCUCCAACACCACAGUUCAAAAGCAUCAAUUCUUUGGUGCUCAGCUUUCUUUAUGGUCCAACUCUCACAUCCAUAUAUGACUACUGGAAAAAACCAUAGCUUUGACUAGAUGGACUUUUGUCAGCAGAAAAUUGUAAACAUGUGCAAACUCUCACAUUGCCUAAUUCUUUCUCACCAAACCAACUAUGAUAUAGAUAAAAUGGAGUAACUUUCAUUAAUUUUCCUACAAAUGAAAGAGUGAUAGGUUGCAAAUUAUACAUGAUUUUCAAUUACAAGUAAGCUAGACAGAAGUAUCUACAUUAUUCAAAGUUGAGGAAUGGUUAUGGAUAUUUCUCUCUAUGUUAGAAGCUACAUGCCGUUUUGUUUUGUUUGUUUGUUUUUUCUUUGCUCUCUCCUUCAAGAUCGCAUCUCAUCCUGGGACUUCCCCAGUGGUCCAGGGACUAGGACUCCAUGCACUCAAUGCAGGGGGCCCAAGUUCAAUCCCUGGGCAGGGAACCAGAUCCCACAUGCUGCAACUAAGAGUCUGCACACUGCAACUAAGGAUUCCAUAUGCCCCAACUAAACUACCCAAGUGCCACAACCAAGACCAGUGCAGCCAAAUAAAAAAUAUUAAAAAAAAAAAAAAGAUCUCAUCUGAUCCUACCAUCACCACUCAGACCCUCAGUCUUUUGAAUCCAUCUCUCAACAUCUAGCUGUGGCAUCUCCUCCAUGGAGCUUCUCCAGAUUGCUCAGGCACCAUGAUUUUAAAAGCUUAUGUGCUUCCCUGGUGGUUCAAACGGUAGAGUCUGCCUGCAAUGCUGGAGACCCGGGUUUGAUCCAUGGGUCAGAAAGACCCCCUGGAGAAGGAAAUGGCAACCUACUCCAGUAUUCUUGCCUGGAGAAUCCUAUAGACAGAGGAGCCUGACGGGCUACAGUCCAUGGGACAGUAAAGAGUUGGACAUGACUGAGCAACUUCACUUUCACUUUUC
ensembl:lncRNA